UACGGGGGGGGUAAGCGUUGUUCGGAAUUACUGGGCGUAAAGGGCGCGUAGGCGGCCUGCUAAGUCGAACGUGAAAUCCCUCGGCUUAACCGGGGAACUGCGUCUGAUACUGGAUGGCUUGAGAUUGGGAGAGGGAUGCGGAAUUCCAGGUGUAGCGGUGAAAUGCGUAGAUAUCUGGAGGAACACCGGUGGCGAAGGCGGCAUCCUGGACCAACACUGACACUGAGGAGCGAAAGCCAGGGGAGCAAACGGG
rnacentral:rRNA from 1 species